rnacentral:lncRNA from 1 species
UUGUAUAGAAAUUGUGACGAUUACCUAUGCGCCCGAGUCUAGCAUGACUGUGAGUCAUAAUUGCUAUUAAAUUUCAAAAGAAAUGAACAAUUGUGCUUAUUACUUGUUAAAUGAACAAUGAAGUGAUAGUUGAGAAGCAAAUGAACUAAAAGAGGAAAGAUUGGUACUUUUCCCUUGCUGGGACUUAUUGUUGAGCUGUAUUCUAUUGCGGGGAUUUAUUGUUGAGUUAUUCUCCCUUGCCAGGAUUUAUUGAUGAGUUAUUCUCCCUUGUCGGGAUAUCUUGUCUUGUUAUAUAUUCCCUUCCUGUUUGGUUGUGACUAUUGUUUGUGUGAGGAUGAGUGAUAAAGCACGAUGGGUGAUGUCAUGUAACUACUUUAUGCUAUUGAUUGGUGAGGAAGAGUGAUAAAGCACGAUAGGUGAUGCCGUGUAACUACUUUAUGCUAUUGAUUGGGUGAGGAAGAGUGAUAAAGCGUGAUGGGUGAUGCCGUGUAACAACCUUAGGCUAUUGAUUAGGUGACGAAUAGUGAUAAAGUACGAUGGGUGAUGCCGUACACUUUAAUUGAUUAUCUUGGUGAGGACGAGAGUAAAAGCACGAUGGAUGGUGUCAUGCAACGUUUGAUUUACUGGUUUUCUUUUUAUUGAUGUUAAUUAUACAGUUUCCAUUUCUUUGUUUGUUAAUAAUAUAAUUGAACUGUUAUACCCCGAGCAUGUCCCAUCCCCACUAUCUGUUUAAAUUCUUGUUUUCUUUUUCUUAUUGCACAUAUAUCUGUACAGGUUGAUUGUGGUAGGUCCGGUUCAGCCUGGUCACAACCUCGCUGAGGUUAGGCCGGGCACUUUCCAGCACAUGGGGUCGGUUGUGCUAAUACAACAGUUCUGUGCCUUUUUGUGCACAGGUCAGGACACAACUUACGAACCACAAUAAUAGUUAGGGAGCGAUCUUUCAGUCCAGAGACUCUGAGGUAGUUCGCUGGCAUUCGCGGGCCCUGGGUCUCCUAUAUCCCUUCCAGUUUGUUUACUGUAUCAGACAUACAUGUUAUUGUAGAAAAUCAUUCUAUCUAUGAUAUGUGCGCUUUGGUUGUAUUAGCAUGAUUUUCAUGU